rnacentral:sRNA from 1 species
UCUUUCAACACCUCAACACCACUGUUAC